GACGAACGCUGGCGGCGUGCUUAACACAUGCAAGUCGAACGGAAAGGCCCUGCUUUUGUGGGGUGCUCGAGUGGCGAACGGGUGAGUAACACGUGAGUAACCUGCCCUUGACUUUGGGAUAACUUCAGGAAACUGGGGCUAAUACCGGAUAGGAGCUCCUGCUGCAUGGUGGGGGUUGGAAAGUUUCGGCGGUUGGGGAUGGACUCGCGGCUUAUCAGCUUGUUGGUGGGGUAGUGGCUUACCAAGGCUUUGACGGGUAGCCGGCCUGAGAGGGUGACCGGCCACAUUGGGACUGAGAUGCGACCCGGACUCCUACGGGAGGCAGCAGUGGGGAAUAUUGCACGAUGGGCGGAGUCCUGAUGCAGCAACGCCGCGUGCGGGAUGACGGCCUUCGGGUUGUAAACCGCUUUCGCCUGUGACGAAGCGUGAGUGACGGUAAUGGGUAAAGAAGCACCGGCUAACUACGUG
rnacentral:rRNA from 1 species